AACGAACGCUGGCGGCAGGCCUAACACAUGCAAGUCGAGCGCCCAGCAAUGGGAGCGGCGCACGGGUGCGUAACGCGUGGGAACGUACCUCUUGGUACGGAAUAACACAGAGAAAUUUGUGCUAAUACCGUAUAAUAUCUCCGGAUCAAAGAUUUAUCGCCAAGAGAUCGGCCCGCGUUGGAUUAGCUAGUUGGUGAGGUAACGGCUCACCAAGGCUACGAUCCAUAGCUGGUCUGAGAGGAUGAUCAGCCACACUGGGACUGAGACACGGCCCAGACUCCUACGGGAGGCAGCAGUGAGGAAUAUUGGACAAUGGGCGAAAGCCUGAUCCAGCCAUGCCGCGUGAAUGAAGAAGGCCUUAGGGUUGUAAAGUUCCUUCAGUGGUGAAGAUAAUGACGGUAGCCACAGAAGAAGCUCCGGCUAAAUUCGUGCCAGCAGCCGCGGUAA
rnacentral:rRNA from 1 species